UAGAAAUGAGUUCAUUGCCUGUUGCUGCCUU
rnacentral:piRNA from 1 species